ensembl:lncRNA
ACCACGUGAACGUGUUGAUUCCUCAAACAAGUUCUGUUUUUACCAACUUUUAAUUACAUACUAGCACUUGGAUUUAUUUUUUAUUGAUGGUAUUCUGCAUUCACGAGGCAAAGCUGGACUUGUAAAGGUUUGAAAGACAAGAUUUGGUGUGCCACGUCUGGUGAUCUGAUAUGGCACAGACUCCAUGGUCACGUGACUGAAGAGGUAAUGAGGAAUUAACUCCUCUUCUCAACUCUGGCUCACCCGGGAUCGGCAGAGUAAUGAACCCUAAAAGGAAAGCACUGAGCAUGUUUAUCUUUUUUUCCAGCGUCUCUGAAGCCCCAAACCCAAAUUCCUUGACUCGACCCGUGACUUAUUG